GUGAGCGGUUAGAAGCUCGCUGGGGAUAACGCCAGAGGUGCUGUCACCUCACCCGUUAAGUCGGUCGGCCCCCAGGACGCCUCUAGCCGCUCAU
rnacentral:ncRNA from 1 species